rfam:Loxodonta africana unplaced genomic scaffold scaffold_50, whole genome shotgun sequence.
GCAGUGGUGGUUCUGUGGUAGAAUUCUCGCCUUCCACGUGGGAGACCUGGGUUCUAUUCCCGGCCAAUGUA